rnacentral:rRNA from 1 species
UACGGAGGAUCCAAGCGUUAUCCGGAAUCAUUGGGUUUAAAGGGUCCGUAGGCGGUUUAAUAAGUCAGUGGUGAAAGCCCAUCGCUCAACGGUGGAACCGGCCAUUGAUACUGUUAGACUUGAAUUAUUAGGAAGUAACUAGAAUAUGUAGUGUAGCGGUGAAAUGCUUAGAGAUUACAUGGAAUACCAAUUGCGAAGGCAGGUUACUACUAAUGGAUUGACGCUGAUGGACGAAAGCGUGGGUAGCGAACAGG